AGAAGGGGCAGCAACUUGGAUCAGUUGGCUGUCAGGAUCAGAUUGAAAUGCAACUUCUGCUCCUAACUCAGUUGGCUGUCAGGAUGGGUGGCUGUUGUUCCUGGGAAAUCUGCAGGUCCCGGCACUCAGGAGAGGAACCCAAGGAUGAAGAUGAAGAGGAGGCACAGAUGGGUAA